rnacentral:rRNA from 1 species
GUCCACGCCGUAAACGAUGGAAGCUAGCCGUUGGUAAGUUUACUUAUCGGUGGCGCAGCUAACGCAUUAAGCUUCCCGCCUGGGGAGUACGGUCGCAAGAUUAAAACUCAAAGGAAUUGACGGGGCCCGCACAAGCGGUGGAGCAUGUGGUUUAAUUCGAAGCAACGCGCAGAACCUUACCAGCCCUUGACAUCCCGGUCGCGGACUCUGGAGACAGAGUCUUUCAGUUCGGCUGGACCGGUGACAGGUGCUGCAUGGCUGUCGU